CCUACGGGAGGCAGCAGUGAGGAAUAUUGGUCAAUGGUCGGGAGACUGAACCAGCCAAGCCGCGUGAGGGAGGAAGGUACAGAGUAUCGAAAACCUCUUUUGUCAGGGAACAAAGACUGGGAAGCGUCCCCGGAUGAGUGUACCUGAAGAAAAAGCAUCGGCUAACUCCGUGCCAGCACCCGCGGUAAUACGGGGGAUGCGAGGGUUAUCCGGAUUUAUUGGGUUUAAAGGGUGCGCAGGCGGUCGGGUAAGUCAGUGGUCAACGCCCGGGGCCAAACCCCGGCCCGCCGUUGAAACUGGCAGUCUCGAGUUGGAGAGAGGUAUGUGGAAUGCGCGGUGUAGCGGUGAAAUGCAUAGAUAUCGCGCAGAACUCCGAUUGCGAAGGCAGCAUGCCGGCUCCACACUGACGCUGAGGCACGAAAGCGUGGGUAUCGAACAGGAUUAGAUACCCUUGUAGUC
rnacentral:rRNA from 1 species